UUCUUAUCAAGAGUGGUGGAGUGACUAGGCACUAUGAAACCCGGCAACCUGUAAAGGUGCUACAUCCUACAGGCGCGUCAGGUCUGAAAGAUAAGAA
rnacentral:ncRNA from 2 species